rnacentral:rRNA from 1 species
AGCGAACGCUGGCGGCAGGCCUCACACAUGCAAGUCGAACGGCUCUUCGGAGCAGUGGCGGACGGGUGAGUAACGCGUGGGAACGUGCCCUUUGGUUCGGAACAACACAGGGAAACUUGUGCUAAUACCGGAUGUGCCCUUCGGGGGAAGGAUUUAUCGCCAUUGGAGCGGCCCGCGUUGGAUUAGGUAGUUGGGGGGGUAAAGGCCCACCACGCCGACGAUCCAUAGCUGGUCUGAGAGGAUGAACAGCCACACUGGGACUGAGACACGGCCCAGACUCCUACGGGAGGCAGCAGUGGGGAAUCUUGCGCAAUGGUCGAAAGCCUGACGCAGCCAUGCCGCGUGAAUGAUGAAGGUCUUAGGAUUGUAAAAUUCUUUCACCGGGGAAGAUAAUGACGGUACCCGGAGAAGAAGCCCCGGCUAACUUCGUGCCAGCCGCCGCGGUAAUAC